AUUGAACGCUGGCGGCAGGCCUAACACAUGCAAGUCGAGCGGAGCGGCGGACGGGUGAGUAAUUCCUAGGAAUCUGCCUGGUAGUGGGGGAUAACGUCCGGAAACGGGCGCUAAUCCCGCAUACUAUCUGCUGAGCCUAGGUCGUGUUGGCUAGUUGGUGGGGGAAAGGCCUCCCAAGGGGAGGAUCCGUGACUGGUCGGUGAGGAUGAUCAGGCACACUGGAACGGAGACAGGGUCCAGACGCCUACGGGAGGCAGCAGUGGGGAAUAUUGGACAAUGGGCGAGAGCCUGGUCCAGCCAUGGCGCGUGUGAUAAGAAGGUGUUGGGAUUGUAAAGCACUUUAAGUUGGGAGGCGUUACCAACAGAAUAAGCACCGGCUAACGUCGUGCCAGCAGCCGCGGUAAUUC
rnacentral:rRNA from 1 species